UCUUCGGCAAUGGACGAAAGCCUGACCGAGCAACGCCGCGUGAGUGAAGAAGGCUUUCGGAUNGUAAAACUCUGUUGUCAGAGAANNACNNNUNGGAGAGUAACUGUUCCCACCUUGACGGUAUCUAACCNNNANGNCAAGGCUAACUACGGUGCAGCAGCCGCGGUAAUACGUAGGUGGCAAGCGUUGUCCGGAUUUAUUGGGCGUAAAGCGAGCGCAGGCGGUUUCUUAAGUCUGAUGUGAAAGCCCUCGGCUAAACCGAGGAAGGUCAUUGGAAACUGGGGAACUUGAAUGCAGAAGAGGAGAGUGGAAUUCCAUGUGUAGCGGUGAAAUGCGUAGAUAUAUGGAGGAACACCAGUGGCGAAGGCGACUCUCUGGUCUGUAAUUGACGCUGAGGCUCGAAAGCGUGGGGAGCAAACA
rnacentral:rRNA from 1 species